rnacentral:rRNA from 1 species
UGCCAGCCGCCGCGGUAACACGGGGGGCGCAAGCGUUAUUCGGAAUUAUUGGGCGUAAAGGGCGCGCAGGCGGUCUUGUCAGUCAGGUGUGAAAGCCCGGGGCUCAACCCCGGAAGUGCAUUGGAAACUGGCGAACUUGAGGACGGUAGGGGUGAGUGGAACUCCAGGUGGAGCGGUGAAAUGCGUAGAUAUCUGGAGGAACACCGGUGGCGAAAGCGGCUCACUGGACCGUAACUGACGCUGAGGUGCGAAAGCUAGGGUAGCAAACGGGAUUAGAUA